rnacentral:lncRNA from 1 species
CGGGCGCCUCCGCAAUGGGGCUGGAGCCGAGAGGUUCCGUUUGGUGGCUUUAAAAUUCUGCUCAGCGCCCAACUUCAAAAAACAGUCAAUGACCCAUCCUUAGUCAUCAGUAAUUAAUAUCUCGACUGGGAUGAGGUGGUUAUCUGCAAGGAGCCUUGCACUUUGGAGACCUCUCCUCAUACCCGGAGCUAUUCUGUCCAGUAAUUCUCUCAGUAACAGGAAGGAAUUUGGAAGUUCAAAUGAGAACACAGCACCCCAUUUGGAAUCAGCUGUCUCUCCAAGAAGUCCUCGGAAAUGGUAUUCAGAGGGAAAUGAUAUAAAGAAAUCACAAUCUGGGCUUCUAGUUGUGCUCAUUGCUUCUCAGUCCACAUUUCUGAGCUUUUCCAAUGAAAGACAUUUUUAGAGUCAAAAUACAUCAUGAGUUUGCAUUGAUACUCUCAGUUCAAAAUCAUGAUUCCAGGCAUCAGCAACCAAAAACAAGGAAAUUACCAAAAAAGACUAGAAUUAAACAAACAACAACAAAAACCACAGGAUUAUGUCGAAAGAACUCAGAAGCCAACUUCAAGAAGUUUUCUUGUGUCAAAGAUGGCACAAUUAGAGCUCUAAAGGGAUAAUAACUAUAAGGUAUUAAAACAAAAUAUGUUUAAAUGUAGAUGUUGAUAUGAUAUUGAUGAUGAUUUUUUUUAAUUUUUUUACGAUUGUCACACAUACAGAGAGAGAGAGAGAGAGAGAGAGGCAGAGACACAGGCAGAGGGAGAAGCAGGCUCCAUGCACCGGGAGCCCGACAUGGGAUUUGAUCCCGGGUCUCCAGGAUCGCGCCCUGAGCCAAAAGCAGGCACUAAACCGCUGCACCACCCAGGGAUCCCAAUAUUGAUGAUGAUUAAAAGAGAAUUCAUUGUUAUCCUUGGAGGAUGCUAAGGAACCAACUCAUUUUGAAAAUAUAAACAAAAGGAAAAAAUUAAACAUUUACCCUGCUUUCUCUGCAUUAUCUGUAAGUCAGAUAAUGAAAAAAUUGAUGAGGGGACCCCUGGGUGGCACAGUUUUCAGCUCAGGUCAUGAUCUCAGGGUUUUGAGAUCAAGCCCCAUGUCCGGCUCUGUGCUGAGCACAGUCACUUGAGAUUCUCUCUCCCUCUCCCUCUGCCCCUCCUGCUUGUGCUCUCAUUUUCUCUCUCUCAAAUAAAUAAAUAAAUCUUUUUUUAAAAAAUGGAUAA